rnacentral:rRNA from 1 species
UAAGUCAGAGGUGAAAGCCCACCGGUUAACGGUGGAACUGCCCCUGAUACUGCUGGGCUUGAGUUAGGUUGAGGUUGGCGGAAUGUGACAUGUAGCGGUGAAAUGCAUAGAUAUGUCAUAGAACACCAAUUGCGAAGGCAGCUGACUGGACCUUGACUGACGCUGAGGCACGAAAGCGUGGGGAGCGAACAGGAUUAGAUACCCUGGUAGUCCACGCCCUAAACGAUGCUCACUCGAUAUGCGCGCUUGCCGUGCGUGUCCAAGCGAAAGCGAUAAGUGAGCCACCUGGGGAGUACGUCGGCGACGAUGAAACUCAAAGGAAUUGACGGGGGUCCGCACAAGCGGUGGGGCAUGUGGUUUAAUUCGAUGAUACGCGAGGAACCUUACCUGGGCUAGAAUGCGAGUGCCAGACCCUGAAAGGGGUUUUUCCUUCGGGACACAAAGCAAGGUGCUGCAUGGUUGUCGUCAGCUCGUGCCGUGAGGUGUUGGGUUAAGUCCCGCAACGAGCGCAACCCUUGUCCUUAGUUGCCAGCAUUUCGGAUGGGGACUCUAAGGAGACUGCCGGCGUAAGCCGCGAGGAAGGUGGGGAUGACGUCAAAUCAUCAUGGCCUUUAUGCCCAGGGCUACACACGUGCUACAAUGGUCGGUACAGAGGGUAGCGAAGCAGCGAUGCGGAGCCGAUCCCAGAAAACCGAUCCCAGUUCGGAUUGGAGUCUGGAACUCGAC